AUGAGGAAAAGCGUCUCGUCAAAGGAGGUGAGCCUCAUGGAGGCCUCCGGUCAAGAGGUCUCCGGUCCCGGGCAGGCCCCUGGUCCAGAAGCCUUCCGUCCCGGUCAGGCCUCCGGUCCCGGUCAGGCCUCCGGUCCAGGGCAGGCCUCCGGUCCCGGUCAGGCCUCCGGUCCAGAGGUCUCAGGUCCCGGUCAGCCCUCCGGUCCAGAGGUCUCAGGUCCCGGUCAGCCCUCUGGUCCAGGGCAGGCCUCCGGGCCCGAGCCCGAGCCCGAGCCCGCUCGCCACCAGGCCCCCCCCCUCCACCGGGCCGUGAAGAGGGUCUCCUCGGGGCCCCUGCAGCUGCCCAGGCUCUGCUACAGGGCGUCCUGUAGAGAGGGAAGAACCUGGGCCUUCAGGGCCUCUCAGAGCGUUGGGAACCUCCUAAACUACAGCUCCAGAGCCUUCCUCAACCUCCUUUGGUGCGUGGCAGUUCGUAUUGCCGAGUCAGUGGUAACAGGACAGAUCUUGCUGUGGGCCGUACGUUGCUGGACACACCACUUGUGAUGUGGGUGAUGAUAAUACGUUUUUGCUGAGCGGGGUCAAACCAGCUCCCGAGUGUCGAGGUGUCCCUGAGCAAGACACCUUACCCCGUCCUGACUGCUCCUGACCAGCUGGCUGUCGCCCUGCGUGGUUGACUCCGCCGUCAGUGUGUGAAUGUGUGCAUGAAUGGGUAGAUGUCAGGCAAUAUUGUACAGCACUUUGGGUGGCCCCGUGUUACAAAAAAGGGCUAUAUAAAUGCAGUCCAUUUACCAUUUACCAUUUAACGUCCUGGGGAGCCUAACAAAGAGAAAAAGUGUUAUUUUAUGAAGAAGAAAAAGGUAUUUGUUCCUCUGCAACUAAACGACAGCAAGUCUUUCAACGCUUGACUCUUGGAGGAAUGUGUUAUGGUCUGAUUACACUGAACUCUGUAUGUAUUGCAUCAGUUAAGGUUAUUUACUGUUGGAGACGGCAGGGGAUAAAUGGUUCAUGUCGUUGUGAUUAUGGGGGUUUUCACCCCAACUUUCAACAAUUCGCAAAAAUGAAACUUAAAUGUAUGUUGAGCUGGUUGUCAGCCAGAGCAGUAGAGGGAGCUGUUGCUAUCCUAUGUCGGGGCUGAACAUGUUCAGUUCAACUUGUCCAAUAUGCAAUGACAGCACUUUGUAAUGAGUCCUUCUUCACAGCUUUGCUUCCUUCCUUUUACAUGUUUGGCACUGGAAUCAAUUGAUAAAGUAACGUUAAGCAAUUCCUUUUAGAAGCAUUUGUUGUCAUAUUUGUUGGAUUUCUGUUUACAUCACUACAGCAAUCAAUAAAUCAAAGGCUCUGACAACAUAAAAAAAAAUGCAGUAUCUGUUGCCGUCCCAGGCGCGGAAUUAGCCUGUCGAAUCAUUUAAUUAUAGCCGAAUGACAUGAUUGGAUUGUCAACCAUUGACCAACCAUUGAUGGUCAACCUGUCCACCAUUUUUACACUUGCACUGAUUAGGCAUAUUAAGAGUCUUCCACCAGACUAGGCAGAGCUAUUGCUGAGGCUAGCGAGCUAGUCAUGUGUUCUGGGGGCGUGGCUUUGGAGGGAGCCUGAAGGGAGGGCGGGAUUUCUUCAGUAACUUACUUUAAAGUCUAGCUUGCUCUGGCUGGUUUCCCAAAAUGGACAACCAUUGCUUUAAUAGUUGAUCAAAACACAAACAAAUUAGAUUAUCCAUCUUAAAUUGAAGUCUUUUCUUUUUUAUGACCAUCCAGAUUCACUUUACAUUAACUUCAAGGCUAUUAUGACGGAGCAUUUAUGAUUGUAUGCCAAUUAUGGCAAAGGAAGAGUUGUAAUAAAGGUCAAUCUAGAC
rnacentral:lncRNA from 1 species